GAGGGGAUAACUCAGGGGUAGAGUGCAUGCCUAGCAUGUUCGAAGUCCUGGGUUCAAUCCAUAGUACCUUCA
rnacentral:tRNA from 1 species